rnacentral:lncRNA from 1 species
CCCAAGGAGGUGGUUGUGAGCAUCAUUUCCUGAGCUGCUCAGGCGGUCCUGUGAGACAGCUCGGUCACCAUGGCAAUAGUGAACUCCAUAACGCACGCCUGCGUUGGCUCAUCUGUCUUCUCUGUUUUAUUCCUCUUGCUUCCCGCUCCUGCUCCCUGGUGUCGCUUUCCAAAUAAACUGCCUACGCACGAGGCCUUGUCGCAGGCCCUGCUUCCGGGGGAACCCAGGCGGAGAGGUUUUUAUUUUAGUCGUCGGACACACAGUCAUAUUGCCAGCCCCACACCCGUGGAACCUAGAAAAGCCAACUAAAUCAAUUGCUACAGCCAUUGCCCCAGAACCCAGGAAGGACAGUACAGACCCCCUACCAGCCAGUCACCGCAGUGCAGACUGGAUGGAAUGUGGGGAAAGGGAGGCAGAAAACAGAAGAUCCAGAGGAAAGAGGUUCUGCCGGAUUUGUCUUCACAGGAUCAGGUCGGGCUGGGGCAUUUGUCAAGGUUCUCAGUCCCUCAGUGUAAAACUCAGUGGGGUUAAGUGUGGAACCAUGUACUACUUCGGAAUGGGUACAAAUUGACUUAGCCACCUUUUCUAUUCUGGAUAGUCUAAGUCAAAACACGACAAAGGUUCAUUUUUCAAAGAACAGGACUUCGAGUUAGCCACUAAUCUGAACGUGGCCACAUAGAUAAGGACAACUGAUGUCUCAGUGCUCACCUGUAUGGACUCAUGACCGAGGACCAAAUGUUCCCUCCCUCCCCCUCCAUGCCUCAUCACCACGUAAGUCCCCCUGUGCCAGAGAUGUGAUGGAAACCUCACAGGCCAAAGGAGCCACGGAGUCAGAAACGAUGGCGUGAUAGAAAAUAUAGUCGUAACUCUUGAACAAAUGUGUUUGUGGGCCAAGAUUUAUAGCUCUUUCACACGAUACAGGAGAAAACCCUCUCCAAAAACUCAAUAUCCGUCUCAGGCUAUUUCUGCAAAUCCAGAGUGUCCAAUCUCUGCUUGUGUAGGUCACAGUCACAAAGGGUCACGUGGCCAGGGCUGGAUGACACCAGCAAAAGCCUCACGGUGAUUGAAAUGUCAAACUCCAAUCACGCCAUAGUCAGCC